rnacentral:lncRNA from 1 species
UACUAAACUGUUAAUCUAUCUUUAAAUAGUCAUAAUUACCCAUCUAAAAGUUGAAAUAUUGCUAUUAAAGCUAAUUAUUUGGCUUGGUGCUUUUAUUUUGAAAGGAUUUAGAGGAAGUGUGUGCUUAAUUACUACACAAUCCAAUAGUGUAGUUGAGUAAUCAGUAAUAAGCAUGGAACUGCUGUCUACACUGAGCAUCAGCAGUUUGACCUGUCAGUGAAAUCUGCAGCUGCGCCGUCGCCAUGGAGACGAAAGGCGGGAAAAUCAGGCUCACUCUGCUCUGUAAAAGCAGAGUUUCACCCUGUAUAAACAGGCUUGUUCCAGCUAAACCAUGAUAGUUAUCACAAAAAUUAUUUCAUUUUACGAGUCCCAAGGCUUCAAUGAGCAAAUGGUGUGAAUUUUAUAUUUGAGGACAAAAGCUUGUAGCCACAGUGGCAAUUUCAAAUUAUGUCUCCUCUGUUUUUCUCCCCAGACGUCUGCCGAAAAUUUAUCAUUAGAGUCUAUGAGAGAAUUUCGGAUCUCUCUGCGCUUUGAGGUUGAUAGCGACUAAAGUAUAGGUCUGAGGGUAUAUCCAGACACAUCAUUAGAAAGAAGACAAGUAUGACUACGAUUUAGUGAAGUAAUUAUGUUGAUAGAGUAAAAAUUGUGGCUGUAGUGACGAGUUAGAGACAGAAGUUCUGUCUUAAAAAAGCGCACCUUCUCACUGUAGCUGUGACAUCAUGCACUCUAACUGACCCAAUACACACUAAUGGAAAAGCUGAAAAUUUAACAAAAACCACACGAUAUUUAAACGCUCACAAGUCGAAAACUAUAAAAGAUACGAGGACGCUGAUUUACACGGAAAAGCUGAAAAUUUAACAAAAACCACACCAUAUUUAAACGCUCACAAGUCGAAAAACUAUAAAGAUACGAGGACGCUGAUUUACAACGGAGAACGCUGAAAGAUGAUAGACGCUUUGACGUUGAAAUGACGUUUCUACGCCAAAGUAUGACGAUGAUAGAAGCUGACGAAAAGAGGCAAGUUGACAAAAAGUUGAACGAUGAU